GCCAGGCUCAGGGCUGUUUCUCCGCGGAUGGCCUCGUGGGCCGGCUGAGAUGCGCAUGCGCGCGGGUGCCUAACGGCUCUGCUGGGCUAGGUGCUCCUCCGAGCGGCUGGAGACUGGAGUGUCCCUGACGGAGGUUGCGGCUGGACCUGGUUACGUGCUGGUGCUGUGCUCCAGAGCGGCAGAAAACGAGUGGGAGCUGAGGUGUCUUGAAGCCGUCCCUCAGCCUGGGAGAAGAUCUUUGGCUUCAGGAUGGGGGUCAGGGAGUCGUUCCUGGGGGCCUGCAGGAGACGCAUGGCUACCUGGAGGGAGAAUCGUGGCAAGGAUGGCUUCUCAAAUCCUGGGUACCGAGUCCGGCAGAAGGAUCUGGGCAUGAUCCACAAAGCUGCCAUCGCAGGUGACCUGAACAAGGUGAUGGAGAGCAUCUUGCUCAGGCUGAAUGACGUGAACGACAGGGACAAGAAGAACAGGACUGCUCUACAUUUGGCGUGUGCCCAUCGCCGUCCGGGAGUGGUAGCUGACUUGGUGGCCAGAAAAUGCCAGCUUAACCUCACUGACAGUAAAAACAGGACAGCUCUGAUCAAGGCUGUACAAUGUCAAGAAGAAGUUUGUGCAUCCAUCCUGCUGGAACAUGGUGCCGACCCAAAUGUUAGAGAUAUGUACGGCAACACUGCUCUGCACUAUGCCAUUGAUAAUGAGAAUAUAUCAAUGGCAGGGAAACUGCUUGCAUAUGGUGCAGAUAUUGAAGCAAGAAGCCAGGGUGAACAUACAUCACUUUUGCUCGCUGUAAAUAGGAAAAAAGAGCAAAUGGUGGCAUUUUUGUUGAAGAAAAAACCAGAUUUAACUGCAAUAGAUAAUUUUGGAAGAACAGCCCUCAUACUUGCUGCUCGUAAUGGAUCAACAAGUAUAGUCUACCAGCUUCUUCAGCACAAUAUUGAUGUCUUUUGCCAAGAUAUAUCUGGAUGGACUGCAGAAGACUAUGCUGUUGCUUCUAAAUUUCAAGCCAUUCGUGGACUAAUUUCUGAAUAUAAAGCAAACAAGAGACGUAAAAGUCUUCAAAAUAGCGAUCCAGAACAAAACUUAGAAAUGACAUCAGAGGGAGAGCAAGAAAGGCUUGAAGGAUGUGAAAGUAGCCAGCCACAGGUUGAAGAAAAAAUGAAGAAAUGCAGAAAUAAGAAAACGGAAGUGUCAAGAAACGUACAUGCUGAUGACAGUGACAAUUAUAAUGACGAUGUUGAUGAAUUAAUUCACAAAAUAAAGAACAGAAAACCUGAUAAUCAUCAAUUUCCCGAGGAGGAGAAUGACAAGUUUGAUAGGCUUGCAAGGAAAACCUUUAAUGAAAAGAGCAAGGUUAAAAGCCAAAUAUAUUUCAGGGAUGACCUUAAUGACAUAACUGAGUCAUCUGAAAAAACCUCAGAGGAUGAUGAGUUGCCUUACUCUGAUGAUAAGAAUUUUAUGUUACUCAUUGAACAACGUGGAAUGGACUGUAAAGAUUUUGUUAGCCUGUUGAAAAUCAAGAAUGCAACAGCUUCAUGUGAAAGAUCAAUAGAGGAUAAAAAAUGUUACUGUGAACGACUUAAAGUAAAAUUUCAAAAAAUGAAAAAUAAUAUUAUCGUACUACAAAAGGUACUAUCUGAAACAGACAAAACCAAAUCACAGUUAGAGCAUCAGAAUCUUGAAAGGAAGAAAAAGCUCUGUAAUUUGAGAUUUAUCUUACAAGAAGAAGAAGAAGAAAGAAUAAAGGCUGAAGAGUUGUUUGAAAAAGAUACAGAAGAGUUAAAAAUAAUGGAAGAGCAAUAUGUGACACAAACUGAAGUGAAACAACUUAAACUGACUCUCAGAUCAUUGGAAGUGGAAUUGAAGACUGUAAGAAGUAACUCAAAUCAGAAUUCUCAUACUCAUGGAAAAGAAAGAGACCUGUGGCAGGAAAAUCACUUGAUUCGGGAUGAAAUUGCCAGACUUGGGCUGGAAAUUGACACAAUAAAACAUCAGAACCAGGAAACUAAAAAUAAAUAUUUCAAAAAUAUUGAAAUUAUAAAGGAAAACAACGAAGACCUUGAAAAGACUCUAAAGCUGGAUGAGGAAACAUUAACAAAAACAAUAACCCAGUAUAGUAAAGAGCUUAAUGUUCUGAUGGAUGAGAAUACAAUGCUCAAUUUUGAGCUAGAGAAGGAAAAACAAAGCAAGUCAAGACUGGAAGCAGAAAUGGAAUCAUACCGUUGUGGACUGGCUGCUGCCCUAUGUGAUCAUGAUCAAUGUCAGUCAUCAAAAAGAGACCUACAGCUUGCUUUCCAGAGCACAGUGAAUGAAUGGUGUCAUUUACUAGAAAAUAGGUAUUCUCACAUUCAGAUUCUUUCUCAGCAACUUUCUAAAGCUGAGAGUACAUCCAGUGGCCUGGAAACUGAGCUCCGUUAUGAAAGAGAGGCUCUCAAAGAAAAGACGUUGGGUAUAGAACACCUGCAAGGAGUCCUAAGCCAAACACAGUGUCGAUUGAAGGACAUUGAACACAUGUACCAAAAUGACCAACGAAUUUGGGAGAAAUACGUGAGAAAGCAGCAAUCUGUAGAGGAUGGACUAUUUCAACUACAAAGCCAAAAUCUGUUAAUUCAACAGCAAUGUAAUGAUGCUCACAAGAAAGCUGACAAUUGGGAAAAAACAAUAAUUAAUAUCCAAGCCAAAUGUGAAGAUACCAAAUGUGAAGAUACUGUAGAAGAACUUCAAGCUGACUGUAGAAAGCUAGAAGAGAACAAUAAGAGGUUGAUGAAGGAAUGCACUCUUUUAAAAGAAAGACAAUGCCAAUAUGAAAAAGAGAAAGAAGAAGGAGAAGUAGUCGUGAGACAGCUUCAACGAGAAGUGGGUGAUGCCCUGAACAAACAAUUGCUGUCAGAAGCUAUGCUAGAGAUUUCAUCACAACAUCGUGUUAAUUUAGAAGAUGAGACACGAAAUUCAAAAAAGAAAUUAGGCCAGAUGAGAAGUCAAUUGCAAGAAAUGCAGGAUCAAUGCACAGAGACUCCAAGAUGUGCUGAGGAGAUGUCAGACCACGUGCAAAAGCUUAAAAUAGAAAAUGCCAUGUUAAAAAUUAGAAUGAAAAAGCGAGCGGACAAAAUUGAGCAGCUUCAGAAAAUUUUGAUGCAGCAGGUGUACAAGGAAACAUAACUGCAGAAGUAGAUGAAGAGUUACUGCACAUUUCUGUGUCAUCUACAUGCCAUGAAAGUCUUAAAAUCAAUUGUCAAUUUCUACAAAAUACCUGCUUGGAUUUGGACUGUGAUUGCAUUAUGUCAUGAGAAAGAAUGAACAUCUUAACUAUGAUGAGUCUCUCAACCUGUGAAUAAGACUUCAGUCAUAGACUUCUCAGCUGCCUUGAGGGAUUGGAUGAGCCUUGGCCAACUCUUGAAGGAAACAAUAAAAUCACUUUAAUAUGCUACUUUUCAUUUUGAAGUCAUUACAGUAUCAUUUGCAAAACUCAACAAGGAAAGAUGCCUGUGGAUGGCCGUGUUCUUGGAGUCACUGAGAUGAGGUGCUGCCUGCUUUCACCCAACCUGAUCUGGGGCUCAGACAGCUACAGGCCCGAGUGGCUGGGAGGUUUGGAGGGAACCAGGUUUAGCUGUGAUGAGAGCACCUUGCUGUGGGCUGGGAGGUGGGAGUGCAGGGCAGCCUGGGCUCCCCUGGCCCCAUACUCAGAUCAGCAAGUGCCCAGCGGAGGCCACAUGGCCCCAGCAUCAACCAGUGUAGGGUCUGUGGGUCCCAGCAUUUCCACAUCCUGAAAAGUGACACGUGAACUGUUUCCUAGGCAAGUUCUCUUCCACCAUGUUCUGGAUGAGGUCCGUGAGCUCCUUCCAGUUUCACAAAGAAUGUGCAGAAGGUGGAAAGAGUGAGGGACGCAGGCCCAGCUGCAGCUGCACUCAGGCCCCUCAGUCAUAAAGUCCGGGUGAGGGGCUGGAUAGGCGCUGACAGGAAAGCAGCCCCUGUUCCUCUUCCCUAGCCAGGUUCUCACAUGUCCCUGAGGAACUAGAGAGGAACGCCUCUGGGAAGCCCAGCCAGGGCCAACCGGAAGGGCCUUUGGGUGAAGUCUGACAUCCUACAUUAGUUUCUCUGGACCUGGUGAGAACCAGCCCCCAGGGGAAGGACUGUUUUGCCAGCACCAACUCUCCAGCUGGGCUGUUGGUUCCCAUUGCCUCCCGUCAUGGAUACAGAAAAGCAGCCAGGCUAUUCCAAGUGGAGUAAAUACAGAGCUGGCUGAGGCAGGGCCAGCUGAGGUGCAAACUCCAUGGGGUUUACUGUCACUCCGCCAGUCAUCUGUCCAGCAGGCCUCAGCUUCACACACAGGGAAACAGAAGGAAUGCAUCUACUCACUGGGCGUCACACUGCUCCCGCUCACAGCCACCGCCUGCAUCGAGGCAACAUGCAGGCGGGAGCUUGGUCCCAGGAGGUGUCUGUAAACUUAUGUCCUGGGGUGGGCCACUGCAGAUGGCCUGUCCUUGCCUUUUCAUCACCAAAUCCCCAUUUUUGGUGCUGACGCAGAUGUCCAGACGUUAAAAUCGCUGAUGUUUUCACAAGACCCACAAAGAGGGAGGGUCCAGGCACAUUUUUUCUUUCUGUAUCACCCUGGAAUUAUGGGCAAAUUUCCCCAAAAACCAUGUGUACUGUGAUUGUACGUACUGGGGUGGAUAUAUUAGACUAGGGGGCCGCAGAUGGGCGGGGAAAAUCUUUUAUGUGAGGUAUUCCUCUAAGCAAUUCUUGACAACUCUUCUCCUCCCUUCUGGAAGCUUCUGGCACUGGAUGUGGAGACAUGGCAUAUCAGGGGUGCAGGUCAAGACCACACGUGCUUGGCACAGUGCACAGAACUUGGCUGGGCUGUGGGUGAGUGAGCAUAUGCGGGAGGGCCCUUGGCUUUGGCCACCGAAUGCCCCUUGUUGGCUAGUCAGCCAGGACCCCUGCCCCUCCCACUCACACGUUAGGCAAGCUCUUCACAGAUCCUGCGUGU